rnacentral:misc_RNA from 1 species
UGGUUGCAUUCCAUCCAAAUAAGUCCUCGUGGUUCCAUUGAACGCCCCUGAUAUGGCCGUUAUACUUAUUAUCCAAUCCUCGGAAGUGUUGUCGUGGCCAUUGAAUGCCUUGUCGGCGAGCAUUUGUUGGAGAAGACGAGCAACUUGAGCUCCGGCUGAAUGCCCCACGAUGUGAAUAGGAUGAUCCUCGUCCCAUUCUGGGUACUGCCCUUGUUCGUACAGGCGGCCGAAUUGCGAGUGACCAAAAACUCUGCUGUGUUCUUCACCGUAAUCGACUUUCCCACCUUUCAAAUAAUAGAACAACUCACGAGCCCUGUCGUAAAUGCUGGUUAAGGACCCCAAAUCA